CUACAUAUGUUCUAAAAUUGCAUAGAAGUAAAUACACACACAUACUCACACGUUGCAUGUAAAACUGGUGAAAACUCAGGUAAAGUCAAUUUCCUAAUUUGAUAUUAUACUAUAGUUAUAUAAGACAUUACAAUUGAAUGAACGUAUAUGAAAUCCCUCUAUUAUUUCUUACAACUGCAAGUGAAUUUAUAAUUAUCUCAAAAUUUAAGAGUUUCUUUUAAAAUCCCACAUGCACGCUAUAAAUUAGUUGAGAACAUGGACUCAGUUUGAUUCACUAAGUACAACACUUAGUACAACACUAAGUACUAGUACACUUAGUACAACACUAAGAUUGUAAUGUUUUUAUACAACUUAACAUAAACUGUUGCAUUUUGCUAGAGCAGAGCUUAUGUUUCAAUGGUGGGACAAAAUAUUUAUAAUGACUCUAUGCAGAUUAAAAUAAGAAACGCUUAGCCAUCUUUCUGUUAUUUUUAAUUUUUAUUAUCAUUAUUAUGUUUCCUCAUGUAAAAACUUCCCUCAGGUAUAUUGCAGCAAUUUACUUUAUCAGCAUAGUAAUUUUGGCAUUUUAUACAUUGAGAUUAUUAAUAAUAGUGCUGAUUAGUAUCAUUAGGCAUCAAUUUUCUGGACCUUAAUAUUGAAAAUUAGAUCACAACCUCUGGUGUAAAGCAUUUUUUCUGUUACCUCUUUAUCUUUUGGAAACAAUGAUUGUCUAAGUUCGUUCACUGUUCCAAUUUUAUGUAAAUCAGGAGUGUUUAAACUUUUUACAUCCCUGGGCCACAUUGGAAGAAUUGUCUUAGGCCACACAUAAAAUACACUAAUUAACGAUAGCCGAUGAACUAAAAAAAACAAACAAACAAACAAAACUCAUAAUGUUUUAAGACAUUUUAUGAAUUUGUGUUUGGCCUUAUUCAAAGCUGUCCUGCGAUGCAUGUGGCUCAUGGGCUGUGGGUGGACAAGCUCUAUGUGAAUAAUCAAAAUGAUACUAUAGUACUAGGAGUCAUUUUUCAAAGCUUUAUUUUCUUGUAACAUCCUUCAUUAAAAAAAUUAUAAACUCUACAAUGAAACCAUAACAAAAAAAUAUAAAAUGAUUCAGUAGGUUCCUGUUUAUCAUAUCCUCACUGUAAGGAUUCUUGUAUCAUGUUGAUUUCUUUAUUUAUAAGAAUCUUUUCUGCUAACCUGAAGAUGGUAUAGAUUUGCUCACAUCUCUGCACUGAUGUUACCUUAUUGAAAAAUUAUAUAAUAAUUAUUCAAGAAUAUAGAUGUUAGAUAAACAUUAUGAAAUAUUCCUAAUAAAUGUUUGAGUAUUAUUUAAAAUGAACAUUAACAGGCCCUUGAAAUUUUUAAUUUUGAAUAUAUUUUUCAAAAUGAGUCAGAAAAAAAGAGUAAUAAUGUGAUCAUAUCUCCCUAUUGAGUGAGCUAAAAGGGGGAAAUGGGGAGCUAUUUCUAUGUAAUGGAAUGAGGGUAGAUAAGAUUUCGUAUUUUCCUCCAUAUAACUAAUUUAUAAUCCACACACGCAUGCAUAUAUGAUAGAGACUGUGCAAUAUGUAUUUUACAUACUUAAUACAUAUUUUACUUAUAAAUGUUUUAUACAUUUUAAUAUAUUUAUUUAAAUAUGUUUGUAUGUGUGCAUAUGAUACAGAGAAAAUAAAAAUUGAUAACUUCUUAUAAUCACACCAGAAUUCCAGUAAUAUAAAUUAUAUUUUUAACAUAUUAAAAAUUCAAACACUUAAUAAAAUCAGAAUCCUCUUAUUAGACAUUUCAAUUAUGAAGUCAAUUUAAAAUGUUAUCAUUGCAAAUAUUCCUGGCAUGUGAUGGAUAAUUUUAGUAAUAUUCAUAU
rnacentral:lncRNA from 1 species